rnacentral:rRNA from 1 species
CCCGGUGACUAUAGGCUUCUGGCAAUACCCGUUCCCAUCCCGAACACGGUCGUCAAGCAGAAGCCGCCGAUGAUAUUGCAUUGCGAGAAAGUAGGUAUUGCCGGGG